CACGUAGGGGGCGAGCGUUGUCCGGAAUUACUGGGCGUAAAGGGCGCGUAGGCGGCGAUUUAAGUCUGAUGUGAAACCCCUGGGCUUAACCUAGGGCUUGCAUUAGAAACUGAAUGGCUUGAGGGCAGGAGAGGAAAGCGGAAUUCCCAGUGUAGCGGUGAAAUGCGUAGAUAUUGGGAGGAACACCAGUGGCGAAGGCGGCUUUCUGGACUGAACCUGACGCUGAGGCGCGAAAGCCAGGGUAGCGAACGGGAUUAGAUACCCCGGUAGUCCUGGCCGUAAACGAUGGAUACUAGGUGUGGGAGGUAUCGACCCCUUCCGUGCCGCAGCCAACGCACUAAGUAUCCCGCCUGGGGAGUACGGCCGCAAGGCUGAA
rnacentral:rRNA from 1 species